rnacentral:lncRNA from 1 species
CGCCCACGUCAUGGCGCCUGAGGAGAACGCGGGUACCAAACUCUUGCUGCAGAGUUUCGAGCGCCGCUUCCUAGCGGCGCGCACACUGCGCUCCUUCCCCUGGCAGCUUAGAAGCAAAAUUAAGAGACUCAUCAGAUUCUGAGCUGCUGCGGGAUAUUUUGCAGAAGGUAAGAAUUCCAGAGUCCCUGGGACUCAUGACCCUGCCUCCUGAAUCUCUCCGGAAGACCUGAGAGAAGAACCACAGGUUCUUUAAAAACACCCCUGUUCAAAGAACAAAACCAUUGAGUCAGCACUGCAGGUAGGUGUCAGCACCUCCGACAGCUCCUGCGCUUUUGUUUUCUAUCUAAGACUUAGACAAAGACAUCAGAAUAUACAAAAAUCUGCAUGAGGGGGGAAAUCUAGGGAAUGUUUUUUAAACUAUCCUCAGCAAAAACAGAGAUGACAGGUGCAAAACAGCUUCUAGCAUUUGGUGGAUGCUCAGAGACUUUCUUUUUUGCAUUCCUGAGGCCUGUCCUGCCCACUCCUGUCUCCUCUAGACCUAAAUGGGCCCUUGCUUUGCCCAGGGUGGGGUUUGGACUCAAGUGCAUCUGCAUGCAGGUGACAGCCAGGAUCACCACCCGGCCCAGCCACAGCGUGACCUUGGCCUUGAGGGCCAAGUGCAGAUCACCCUGCAUCCUGGGUCUUCACCUUCGAAGGGCCAUGAGCCCUUCAGAAAAGACAAAGCAAUAGACUCCCUCCCAGAAAGAAGUGCACCAG